rnacentral:rRNA from 1 species
GGUGAACGCUGGCGGCGUGCCUAAUACAUGCCAGUCGAGCGAACAGACGAGGAGCUUGCUCCUUUGACGUUAGCGGCGGACGGGUGAGUAACACGUGGAUAACCUACCUAUAAGACUGGGAUAACUUCGGGAAACCGGAGCUAAUACCGGAUAAUAUAUUGAACCGCAUGGUUCAAUAGUGAAAGACGGUUUUGCUGUCACUUAUAGAUGGAUCCGCGCCGCAUUAGCUAGUUGGUAAGGUAACGGCUUACCAAGGCAACGAUGCGUAGCCGACCUGAGAGGGUGAUCGGCCACACUGGAACUGAGACACGGUCCAGACUCCUACGGGAGGCAGCAGUAGGGAAUCUUCCGCAAUGGGCGAAAGCCUGACGGAGCAACGCCGCGUGAGUGAUGAAGGUCUUCGGAUCGUAAAACUCUGUUAUUAGGGAAGAACAAAUGUGUAAGUAACUAUGCACGUCUUGACGGUACCUAAUCAGAAAGCCACGGCUAACUACGUG